GCACUUGGGGGUCUAGCCAUAUUGGUGUCGAAAAGUAUUCUACAUACACUACCGCUUUUGCGUAAUUGUACUGUCGAAAACGCUUCGUUCGUAGCCAAGAGGCAUGUCGAUACAUUACCGCAAAGUCGACACCGUAGAUGCGAGCUGCUGUUCGUAGCACCUUAUUCCGUCAUAUUGUCUCUGGAUUAAAUGUAUUCCUAAUGUCACUUUUAUAAACAAAUAAAAGUUAAAACUUAACAAUAUUAUUGUAAAUUUGCAAUUGGAAGCUGCAAAAGGGACAUUAGAAUGUCAGAAAGGUCGGACCAAUUUUCAAUUUAAGUGGAAUUUACGGAAGGUGCAAAGAUUUGACCUCACAACUAAUCUGCAAAAUGAAGAAGCAACAUAUUUUGUUACCGCUUAGAAGAAACAAUAGAAAUAGUACUGUGGAUUGAUAAAUAAAGAGUGAAAAUAAGAUUGAUUAGAAGUUGAUAAAGUCCAAGGAAUUAAAAAACAAUAGAAAAAAAACGUAGACUAGUGUGAACACUGAUAUUAGAGUUUAAUUUAAGCUUUAAUUAGGUUUGGUGUUUGUGCUUGAACAUUUUUAAUGUCAAU